rnacentral:rRNA from 1 species
ACGGGUGAGUAACGCGUGGGAACCGUUACCCUUUGCUACGGAAUAGCCUCGGGAAACGUGGGAGUAAUACCGUAUGUGCCCUUCGGGGGAAAGAUUUAUCGGCAAAGGAUCGGCCCGCGUUGGAUUAGGUAGUUGGUGGGGUAAUGGCCUACCAAGCCGACGAUCCAUAGCUGGUUUGAGAGGAUGAUCAGCCACACUGGGACUGAGACACGGCCCAGACUCCUACGGGAGGCAGCAGUGGGGAAUCUUAGACAAUGGGCGCAAGCCUGAUCUAGCCAUGCCGCGUGAGCGAUGAAGGCCUUAGGGUUGUAAAGCUCUUUCAGUGGGGAAGAUAAUGACUGUACCCACAGAAGAAGCCCCGGCUAACUCCGUG